CCUACGGGGGGCUGCAGUGGGGAAUUUUGCGCAAUGGGGGAAACCCUGACGCAGCAACGCCGCGUGCGGGAUGACGGCCUUCGGGUUGUAAACCGCUUUCAGCAGGGACGAUAAUGACGGUACCUGCAGAAGAAGCUCCGGCUAACUACGUGCCAGCAGCCGCGGUAAUACGUAGGGAGCAAGCGUUAUCCGGAUUUAUUGGGCGUAAAGCGCGCGUAGGCGGCUUAUCAAGCAAGAUCUUUAAUCUGAGGGCUCAACCCCCAGCUGGAUCCUGAACUGGUAGGCUCGAGUUUGGUAGAGGAAGAUGGAAUUCCCAGUGUAGCGGUGAAAUGCGCAGAUAUUGGGAAGAACACCAAUGGCGAAGGCAGUCUUCUGGGCCAUAACUGACGCUGAGGUGCGAAAGCUAGGGGAGCGAACAGGAUUAGAUACCCCGGUAGUC
rnacentral:rRNA from 1 species